AACGAACGCUGGCGGCAUGCCUAACACAUGCAAGUCGAACGAGACCUUCGGGUCUAGUGGCGCACGGGUGCGUAACGCGUGGGAACCUGCACUUAGGUUCGGAAUAACUCCCCGAAAGGGGUGCUAAUACCGGAUAAUGUCUUCGGACCAAACAUUUAUCGCCUUUGGAGGGGCCCGCGUUGGAUUAGCUAGUUGGUAGGGUAAAAGCCUACCAAGGCGACGAUCCAUAGCUGGUCUGAGAGGAUGAUCAGCCACACUGGGACUGAGACACGGCCCAGACUCCUACGGGAGGCAGCAGUGGGGAAUAGUGGACCAUGGGCGAAAGCCUGAUCCAGCUAGGCCGCGUGAGCGAUGAAGGCCUGAGGGUUGUAAAGCUCUUUUACCCGGGAUGAUAAUGACAGUACCGGGAGAAUAAGCUCCGGCUAACUCCGUG
rnacentral:rRNA from 1 species